AGAUAUACCUAAUUUAAAUGAGGAGUUAAUGGGUACAGCACACCAAUGUGGCACAUGUAUACAUAUGUAGCAAACCUGCACGUUGUGCUCAUGUACCCUAGAACUUAAAGUAUAAUAAAAAGAAAAAAAAGUAUGUGUAUGUAUAUAUACAUAUAUAUAAAAGAAGGCAACAUAGUGACAGCCUGUUAGAGACCCAAUUUGCAUAAUAAAAGAUCAGGGUGGGGUGGCCAGCCUCUUCACGUACUAUAUAAAGGGCACACCUGGUUUAACCAAUCCUCUGUGCCCUAUGUAAGGCAGACAGGACUUCCUCAAGCUCAUCUAUAAACCAACUGCAUCUUGCUAUGAACCUGGAAACCAUUUGGGAUCUCUUCCUCUGCACCAGAAAGCUCUCUUCUUUGUUUCACUUAUUAAACUUCUGCUCUUAAACCCACUCCUUUUGUCUGUGUCUGUGUCCUUGAUUUCCUCGGUGUGAGGCAAUGAACCUUGUGUAUUACCCCAGACAAAUGAGGCAGCUUCAUUGUGGGGGCUUGUCCAGGAUUAUCAAAAGGGUGAGUAUAGGAGUGGACCUCAACUCUGUCCUUUUAUUUCAGGGCUCUCAGCCUCCAUUUUAAUUAUUUAAUUAUUUUAUUUUUUUGAGACAGAGUCUCACUGUGUCACUCAGGCUGGAGUGCAGUGGCAUUAUCUUGGUUCACUGCAACCACCAUCUCCCAGGUUUAGGUGAUUCUCAUUUCUCAGCCUCCUAAGUAGCUGGAAUUAUGACACAUGCCACCACACCUGGCUAAUUUUUGUAUUUUUAGUAGAGAUGGGGUUUUGCCAUAUUGGGCAGGCUGGCACCAAAGUUCUGGGAUGAGGUGUGAGCCACCACACCUGGCCCUUAACCUCCAUUUUAAAGUCAAAUCAAACCAUAUACUGUGUGUCUGAUGGCCACCUAGAUACCUCUAGUGUGAGCCAUGCUUCUCAAGGCUCAGAUGACAGGCUUGUUGGGCUGUCAUGAUAGUGAAUCCACUAGUGCCCUCAGGUUGCUGGGCUUGUUGGUUAUGUUUCAAACCAGUUUUCCUUCAUGGAGGAACUAGCCAUCUCACGGGGCUUGAAGAAGUCCUAGGGCAACUGACGAUUUCUGGCCAGGGCUAAACCUUGAUGUUAUUCAAAAGCUUUGGGACUGUACUCAGCCUCCAGCUGCUCAAUCGGAUCAGCAACAGAAUCUCCAGCUUUUCUAUUGCAAAUGUUCUCCUUUCCUAUCCACCACCAUCAUGUCUCCUAUCCUCUCUCUGUAUGCAAUAUCAUGGGAAUUUUUACAGUUCAGAGACAUAGUCCUGUUAGGAAAGAUCAGAAAAUGCUAUAGUAACUACAAAUAUAGCUCAAGGGAAUGCCACUUUUGUAACUUUCUAGAAGCAGAGGUCUCCCCCAGCAAGUGUUUCUACCCUUCCUCUGGCAAGCAUAUGGUAUUUCUAGGUCAGCAGCGUCAACUAGUGGAGUAUCCUUACCAUGAGUCUCAUUGUUGGUCCUUUGCUGAGACACUCCAGCUUCCCAAUUCUCCCUUUUUGUGCCCCUCUACCAGAUUCCAGGGUUUAUGGCUUUCUGUAAAUGGGAAAAACUGUGCCAUGAAAGAUCAAGAGGAAAAUGUCCUCUGAAACCGUUUUAGUCUGAACACUGUCCCAUCAGCAGGAAAACCACCAUUUGAUCCCUAUGUUCUUUUAAGACACCAAUCCUGCUUGCAGUUAAAACAAUACUUAAAUAGUAAGGGAAUUUUAAGUCCAGAAGUUAACCACUACCAUUCUCUAGGGGUAAAUCCUUUAGCACGACCCACAAUAGCAGGAUAUAGAGUUCAAUCUUGUACACCCCCUCCAUUAAAGGGGCCAUGCCCAAAUUCAACUAUUACAUAGUCUUUCCUGAGAUCCACUUUUCAGGGAGCCAUGAAGAUCAUACAAGUCUAGGAAGUCAGGGUAAUCAAAAACAGAGAACUAGGGCUGCAUGGGUACACAUGACUAAACUCAUCACUUAAUUCCUCUGGUUCCAUGGCUGGGGAAUCAUGCCUGCAACCAUGGAUAGCAUGUUUAACAAGGUGCCAGGAGCCCAGGAACCAAAGAGAGAAAACAGUAGGGGGAAUGCCCCCACUGUCUUCCCCUCCACCCUGGGCCAUCCCAAGGAAAGGAUCCUUUUUUUCUCAGUUCUCUUUCUAGAUGGGUAACAGACCAUCUUUGGCCUGUACUCCUCUCAAGUGUAUUCUAAAGCACUGGGACUCAUUUAACCCCAAAACUUUGAAGAAAAAAGCAGCUCAUUUUUCUUUGCACAAGGGGAUGGCAUUCUUUCUAGACCUUUGCAAGCAUUGCAAAAUCAACCCAGCUUUUUUAGCAGUCAUAUCAGUCAGGUCUGUAGAGAAUGAUUUCCCACAGUAAGAGAAGAAACUUUUGAGGGAACCAUCUGAGAAUUCCCCUUAUCUGAGGCCCCUUUAUGUUCCCUUCUCAUUACGGAACCUUAGGCAGAUUAAGGGAGUCUUAGGCCAUGCUGCUCCUAAGCCAAACCCUCACUGCUACUCAAAAACAGGCAGCUCUGUAGGCAGUAGAACAUUUUGGAGAUGAACAAUAUAUCUCCUAUAAUAGGCCAAAAAGGAAAAAAGGAGAUAGGGAAGGUGAUAUGGUUUGGUUCUGUGUUCCCACCCAAAUCUCAUCUUGAAUUGUACUCCCAUAAUUUUCAUGUGUUGUGGGAGGGACACAGUGGGAGAUAAUUUGAAUCAUGGGGGUGGUUUCCCCUAUACCGUUCUCAUAAUAGUGAAGGAGUCUUAAGAGAUCUGAUUGUGCUAUCAGGGGUUUCUGCUUUAGCAUCUUCCUCAUUUUUUCUAGCCACCACCAUGUAAGAAGUAUCUUUCACCUCCUGUCAUAAUUCUGAGGCCUUCCCAGCCAUGUGAAACUGCACAAGCGCUCAAUUAGCUGCACUGACAGAUCUUAAAAGACCACUUGAAUUAAGCAAUUGAAAGUGGUAAAAGUUACAGGUAUCAACUCCUGGAUACAUCACACUGGAGUCGAAGCCUGGAAAGCUGUGGGAGCAACCCCUGACAGCCCUGAGGAACAUCCUGAAUAUCAAUGUGAAUAAAUAGGAGAUCUGAAGCUACAAACCAUAAAAGAAGUAAUCAAACUCCAAAUGGUGCUGCAGACAGAACCAUCCAUGGACACGCCUUUCUUUUGAGGACCCUUAGAUUGACCCCAGGAGGAGCCCUAACUGCUGUUCCCUACACAACACUCCUUUUCAGCAUGCCAAAACUCAGACAAACCAGUGAUGUUCCAAAAGUUGAUGGGAGAAGAACCCAAACAUUUGAUUCUUCCUUCAUUGAUUUUUCUUUCAUUGACUCAGGUCAGAAGACAUUUAAAAGAAGAGGAUCUAUCAUAAACUGGGGCUGUUGCUGGGGUUCUAGCACUUGCCUGGACAAUGUGUCUGCACCAUCAACAUCACCUAUGACUGGACAGCUCUCUGGAGUUUCUCUGCCAAAUAUUUGUGAGAAUGACAAUCUGCUCAAACCUGUUCUGUAUUGCUGAUUAUACAAUUUCCGAUUGAAAAUUGUUGUAUAAUACUCGGAGAAAAAAUCACUUUUCUCUUGGGAGAGGUUUCAGUGAGAUGUGACACUGGGGAGAAUGCCUCAGCACAUGGAAAAAGCACCACACUACCCUGAGAAGAGAUGAGAAAAGGAACUCAAGGUGCCUCAGUGAUUCAGAAUGUUAUCUUCAUGCAAUCAGGUUCCCUUUGUAGAAACUUACCCAUGAGAGGUGGAGCCAAGAUGGCCGAAUAGGAACAACUCUAGUCUAUAACUCCCAGCGAGAGCGACACAGAAGACGGGUGAUUUCUGCAUUUCCAAUUGAGAAGCUUAUUGAGAAGUUUGUGGAAUAUAAGUGUAAGUGUAUUGGAUAAUUAAAGUUUUGAUAUUCUGAUAUUGUUGGAACUACUUGAAGAAUUUAACAUUUGUUUGAUGAUCUCACAGCAGAAUUGGAAGCUGUAUCUUUACAAUGUGUCUAUUUGGCUGAAAACAAUCAAGUUACUCAACAGGAGUUAUCUAUGAAAAAAGUACAACAGGAAUGUGAAAAACUUGAGGAAAAUAAAAAGAUGUUGGAAGAGGGAAUAGUAAAUCUUAUGACACAUAUGGAAAAAUAUGGUAGAACUUGGUAAAGUACAAGAAUAUAAAUUGGAGCUAGAAGAAAAAGCAAUGCCAGCAAUAGAAAAAAAAUAGAAGAAAUCCAUUAACAG